CCCCUCGCCCGGCCUGCCCACCUGCCGCCCAGCCCACCCCGGCGCCUGCUGCGAAAAUGGGGGGCCUGGCCCACGCCAAUAUCCGUAGGAUCUCCUUGCGGGGCUUUAUCCUGGUAGAUUUAUCAAAAGAGCAACGAAGGGUUUAUUUCUCUGUGCAACUUCUUGACGGUGGUUUCCUUCUCCCUCGCCACCCAUAAGCGUACUUAAUAAUUGGGACCCGAUUGCCUGUGGGCUUAUGACACUGACCAAAAUUCUAUGGAUGGGAAUGCAGGAGAAAAGGAGAAGGAAAAAAAGAAGCAAAGAGUAUCUGUGUUCAACUGAGGAGUGACAAAUAUAUUCUCCUGCCUGUUGCUGGUUCAGGUGUUCUGAGAAGAAAUUGAAUGCAUAGACAGAGAGCCAGUAUUUUCAGCAUGGAAACCACAAGUCUUGGAAAGGAAGUUUUCCACUGGUUGCUCCUCUCUUCUGCCAAUACAUGCAUCAUCAUCUUUACUGCUUCUUUAAUGUAUCACAAAUAAGUUAUUUUUUAGUCAACUUUCCAGGAAAACCAAUUCAGAAAUCCUAUGAAGAUUCUUUUGAUGUUUCCAUUAAAUAAAAUUCCCUCAUGGGGAAUAUAAGACCAGCAAGAGCUCUUUAAUAUCUAAUUCAUUACACUAACUUGGUUAUCUAUAUGGGAAGAAACUAUAUUGCGAAUAUUUAGACCUUCAUUUAAAUGUGAUUUAUUUCAGAGGUUUUAAAUUCCAGAUCAAAAUAAUCAAACAAUUUCAACAUAACAAUAAGCUUACCCUUCCCCAGUGCAGAAGAGUGUGCAAAAAUGUUUGCUUAAUAAGUUUAAACUCCUGAGAUGGAUAUGCUCAGCAGCAGCAAAUACAUCCUGUGCUUAGAUCAUGUAGUGAACAUCAGCGUGCUUGUUUGCUGUGGGGCCCGACUUAAAACCUCUGCAAUUAUACUCAGUCUGAGGAUAGAAAAUCUUUGCUGUCGACAUAGCAGACCAAGUGAUUCAGUGCUCAAGGUACUUUAGUGCUGCUUGAACAUAAAGAAGAGGAAGCAAGGAGGAAGGGUGUUUAUUUUGGUAAAAUCUUGGAGAA